CUCUUUGUUCUCUCUAACUCUCUAACUUAAAAACUUGAUUUGUGCAUAAUAUUUGAUUACUUUGGGUUGAUCUUUGGAAACUGGAAUGUGACUUUUGCUACCCCUGCAUGAACCGUGAUUUUUGGAACUUAGUUGCAGGUGAUAUUUCAGUUCUCAUAUCAGUGGCUAGUCUUGCCUUGGCAAAUUAAACAAAUAAGAUGGAUCAACGUCAAAGUAGCACGGAAAGAGUCUUAGAGCAAGAGCAAUGCAAUUGUAAGUGUAUUUGACUUCGUGUCUUUGAAAUAUGAG